rnacentral:rRNA from 1 species
AGUGAACGCUGGCGGUAGGCCUAACACAUGCAAGUCGAACGGCAGCACAGUAAGAGCUUGCUCUUACGGGUGGCGAGUGGCGGACGGGUGAGGAAUACAUCGGAAUCUACUUUUUCGUGGGGGAUAACGUAGGGAAACUUACGCUAAUACCGCAUACGACCUACGGGUGAAAGCAGGGGAUCUUCGGACCUUGCGCGAUUGAAUGAGCCGAUGUCGGAUUAGCAAGUUGGCGGGGUAAAGGCCCACCAAGGCGACGAUCCGUAGCUGGUCUGAGAGGAUGAUCAGCCACACUGGAACUGAGACACGGUCCAGACUCCUACGGGAGGCAGCAGUGGGUAAUAUUGGACAAUGGGCGCAAGCCUGAUCCAGCCAUACCGCGUGGGUGAAGAAGGCCUUCGGGUUGUAAAGCCCUUUUGUUGGGAAAGAAAAGCAGCAGGUUAAUACCCCGCUGUUCUGACGGUACCCAAAGAAUAAGCACCGGCUAACUUCGUG